UCUUAUGCAUAUUUCCAGCAGGAGGUUUAUAUGCAGCCACCACCUGGGUAUUCAGUUCCCGAUGGCAUGGUUUGUCGUCUUCGUCGCUCUCUCUAUGGCCUUAAGCAAGCCCCUCGUGCUUGGUUUGAGCGUUUUGCCUCUGUGGUCACUGCUGCUGGUUUUUCACCCAGUGAUCAUGAUCCAGCGUUGUUUGUCCACCUUUUUGCUCAUGGUCGCACUCUUCUUCUUCUAUAUGUUGAUGACAUGAUCAUCGCUGGCGACGAUUCUGAGUACAUUGCCUUUGUCAAGGCACGUCUUAAUGAGCAGUUCCUUAUGUCUGAUCUUGGUCCUCUUCGUUACUUUCUUGGGAUUGAGGUUUCCUCCACCUCUGCUGGCUUUUUUAUUUCCCAAGAAAAGUAUAUCCAGGGCCUUCUUACUCGUGCAGCUCUUAGUGAUGAGCGCACUGCUGAGACUCCUAUGGAGCUCAAUGUUCACCUUCGUGCUUCUGAUGGUGAGCCCUUGUCUGAUCCGACACGUUAUCGUCAUCUUGUUGGGAGUCUUGUGUAUCUUGCUGUCACUCGUCCGGAUAUCUCUUAUCCUGUCCAAAUUCUGAGUCAGUUUGUUUCUGCUCCCACUUCAGUUCAC
rnacentral:rRNA from 1 species